GUGGGGAAUAUUGGACAAUGGGCGAAAGCCUGAUCCAGCCAUGCCGCGUGUGUGAAGAAGGUCUUCGGAUUGUAAAGCACUUUAAGUUGGGAGGAAGGGCAGUAAGUUAAUACCUUGCUGUUUUGACGUUACCGACAGAAUAAGCACCGGCUAACUUCGUGCCAGCAGCCGCGGUAAUACGAAGGGUGCAAGCGUUAAUCGGAAUUACUGGGCGUAAAGCGCGCGUAGGUGGUUUUGUAAGUUGGAGGUGAAAUCCCCGGGCUCAACCUGGGAACUGCCUCCAAAACUGCAUGACUAGAGUGCGGUAGAGGGUAGUGGAAUUUCCUGUGUAGCGGUGAAAUGCGUAGAUAUAGGAAGGAACACCAGUGGCGAAGGCGACUACCUGGACUGAUACUGACACUGAGGUGCGAAAGCGUGGGGAGCAAACAGGAUUAGAUACCCUAGUAGUCC
rnacentral:rRNA from 1 species